rnacentral:rRNA from 1 species
AGGUUACUUCGGUAACUGACCUAGCGGCGGACGGGUGAGUAAUGCUUAGGAAUCUGCCUAUUAGUGGGGGACAACAUUCCGAAAGGAAUGCUAAUACCGCAUACGUCCUACGGGGGAAAGCAGGGGAUCUUCGGACCUUGCGCUAAUAGAUGAGCCUAAGUCGGAUUAGCUAGUUGGUGGGGUAAAGGCCUACCAAGGCGACGAUCUGUAGCGGGUCUGAGAGGAUGAUCCGCCACACUGGGACUGAGACACGGCCCAGACUCCUACGGGAGGCAGCAGUGGGGAAUAUUGGACAAUGGGCGCAAGCCUGAUCCAGCCAUGCCGCGUGUGUGAAGAAGGCCUUUUGGUUGUAAAGCACUUUAAGCGAGGAGGAGGCUCCUUUAGUUAAUACCUAAAGAGAGUGGACGUUACUCGCAGAAUAAGCACCGGCUAACUCUGCGCCAGCAGCCGCGGUAAUACAGAGGGUGCGAGCGUUAAUCGGAUUUACUGGGCGUAAAGCGUGCGUAGGCGGCUUUUUAAGUCGGAUGUGAAAUCCCUGAGCUUAACUUAGGAAUUGCAUUCGAUACUGGAAAGCUAGAGUAUGGGAGAGGAUGGUAGAAUUCCAGGUGUAGCGGUGAAAUGCGUAGAGAUCUGGAGGAAUACCGAUGGCGAAGGCAGCCAUCUGGCCUAAUACUGACGCUGAGGUACGAAAGCAUGGGGAGCAAACAGGAUUAGAUACCCUGGUAGUCCAUGCCGUAAACGAUGUCUACUAGCCGUUGGGGCCUUUGAGGCUUUAGUGGCGCAGCU